rnacentral:rRNA from 1 species
GAACGCUGGCGGCAGGCUUAACACAUGCAAGUCGAGCGCCCCGCAAGGGGAGCGGCAGACGGGUGAGUAACGCGUGGGAAUUUACCCAGUGGUACGGAACAACCCAGGGAAACUUGGGCUAAUACCGUAUAAGUCCUUCGGGAGAAAGAUUUAUCGCCAUUGGAUGAGCCCGCGUCGGAUUAGCUAGUUGGUGGGGUAACGGCCUACCAAGGCGACGAUCCGUAGCUGGUCUGUGAGGAUGAUCAGCCACACUGGGACUGAGACACGGCCCAGACUCCUACGGGAGGCAGCAGUGGGGAAUAUUGGACAAUGGGCGCAAGCCUGAUCCAGCCAUGCCGCGUGAGUGAUGAAGGCCUUAGGGUUGUAAAGCUCUUUCGGCGGGGAAGAUAAUGACGGUACCCGCAGAAGAAGCCCCGGCUAACUUCGUGCCAGCAGCCGCGGUAAUACGAAGGGGGCUAGCGUUGUUCGGAAUCACUGGGCGUAAAGCGCACGUAGGCGGACUUCUAAGUCAGGGGUGAAAUCCCAGGGCUCAACCCUGGAACUGCCCUUGAUACUGGAAGUCUCGAGUCCGGGAGAGGUGAGUGGAACUCCGAGUGUAGAGGUGAAAUUCGUAGAUAUUCGGAAGAACACCAGUGGCGAAGGCGGCUCACUGGCCCGGUACUGACGCUGAGGUGCGAAAGCGUGGGGAGCAAAC